UAAAAAGACACGUUCAAAUGUAUUAAAAAUUAGUGAGAGAUUGUUGUAUACACCAUGAAGUAUAUAUACGCAAUUGCAUUCAUAUUCGCAAUGUUGGCGAUGGUGACGCUGACUGACGCUAGAGUGGCCUGUAUUGCCCUGUAUGACCCUGUUUGUGGUAUUAAUGGGGUAACAUACAGCAAUAUGUGUUGGUUAAACGCAGCUGGUGUGCCGUUGGCUUACAAAGGAGAAUGCUGUCAUUGAUUUGAAAUAAAUAUGUGAAGA